UCGUCUUAUACGGCGUGUGUUCGUCAUAAUAUCCGCUAUCCGCCAGUUUCUGAUGUGUUAUCUCGGCGUAGUAAGCCGCGGAACUGCAUAUCGCCUACGGCAGAGAUGUUAAAUCUUGUGAUACCGCAGCGGUAUUUUGACUAAUCUUCAAAAUGUGACGAAAUUAUAAGAUCCAGCUACAUCCGGCCAGGCGAGUUUCUUCCAGAAUUCUUUAAUCUGUGAUAUACAUUACAAAAAUACAAUUUCUUUCUUCAGCAAGAGAGUUUAUUAUAAAUUGCAGAUUCGAUCGAGUUCCGCAGCUCUUCGUAUUCUCUGGACCGCUUUGAGCUUUGCCAGAUCCAGCCAUUUGUCAACAGCUGGUCUGAACCACUCGUAGUACUUGCAGAUCGCCAAAGUUUUGUGGUCUGAUUGCGCACCGGGUGGCAAAACAUAUUCCUCGUCUCUGUUUUGGCCAUGCAGUUGUAGACAGGCGGUGGUAACUCUUGCACCGAGCUCGUUGUGCAUC